rnacentral:rRNA from 1 species
UUCGGGGGACAGGGUGACAGGUGGUGCAUGGUUGUCGUCAGCUCGUGUCGUGAGAUGUUGGGUUAAGUCCCGCAACGAGCGCAACCCUCGACCUUAGUUGCCAGCAUUCAGUUGGGCACUCUAAGGUGACUGCCGGCUAAAAGUCGGAGGAAGGUGGGGAUGACGUCAAAUCAUCAUGCCCCUUAUGACCUGGGCUACACACGUGCUACAAUGGGCGGUACAAAGGGUCGCGAACCCGCGAGGGGGAGCCAAUCCCAAAAAGCCGCUCUCAGUUCGGAUUGCAGGCUGCAACUCGCCUGCAUGAAGCCGGAAUCGCUAGUAAUCGCGGAUCAGCGUGCCGCGGUGAAUACGUUCCCGGGCCUU